rnacentral:rRNA from 1 species
UAACACAUGCAAGUCGAGCGGAAACGAUGGUAGCUUGCUACCAGGCGUCGAGCGGCGGACGGGUGAGUAAUACUUAGGAAUCUACCUAGUAGUGGGGGAUAGCACGGGGAAACUCGUAUUAAUACCGCAUACGACCUACGGGAGAAAGGGGGCAGUUUACUGCUCUCGCUAUUAGAUGAGCCUAAGUCGGAUUAGCUAGAUGGUGGGGUAAAGGCCUACCAUGGCGACGAUCUGUAGCUGGUCUGAGAGGAUGAUCAGCCACACCGGGACUGAGACACGGCCCGGACUCCUACGGGAGGCAGCAGUGGGGAAUAUUGGACAAUGGGGGAAACCCUGAUCCAGCCAUGCCGCGUGUGUGAAGAAGGCCUUUUGGUUGUAAAGCACUUUAAGCAGUGAAGAAGACUCUUCGGNUAAUACCCGGAGACGAUGACAUUAGCUGCAGAAUAAGCACCGGCUAACUCUGUGCCAGCAGCCGCGGUAAUACAGAGGGUGCAAGCGUUAAUCGGAAUUACUGGGCGUAAAGCGAGCGUAGGUGGCUUGAUAAGUCAGAUGUGAAAUCCCCGGGCUUAACCUGGGAACUGCAUCUGAAACUGUUAGGCUAGAGUAGGUGAGAGGGAAGUAGAAUUUCAGGUGUAGCGGUGAAAUGCGUAGAGAUCUGAAGGAAUACCGAUGGCGAAGGCAGCUUCCUGGCAUCAUACUGACACUGAGGCUCGAAAGCGUGGGUAGCAAACAGGAUUAGAUACCCUGGUAGUCCACGCCGUAAA